GGACACUCUCAGGGUGGAGCCUGCUGGAGUCCGAUGGUUGAGACCAGGUCUGAGGAAGUAUUCCUGUCAACUCACAAUCAACACAAACACAGUGAACACAAAGCUCCAACUGUCUGACAAUAACAGGAAGGUGACAGAUGUGGAGGCGGUUCAGUCAUAUCCUGAUCAUCCAGACAGAUUUGAUGUUUAUCAGCUGCUGUGUAGAAAUGGUCUGACUGGUCGCUGUUACUGGGAGGUCGAGUGGAGAGGAGGCGUUUCUAUAUCAGUGAGUUACAGAGGAAUCAGAAGGAAAGGAUACAGAGACUGUUGGUUUGGAGGGAAUGAUCAGUCCUGGAAUCUGUACUGCUCUGAUGAUGGUCCUCAGUCUGUCUGGCACAAUAAGAUAAAAACACCCAUCUCCAUCUCCUCCUCCUCCUCCUCUGUCUCUAAAAGAGCAGCAGUGUAUGUGGACUGUCCUGCUGGCACUCUGUCCUUCUACAGAGUCUCCUCUGACACUCUGAUCCACCUCCACACCUUCAACACCACAUUCACUCAAACUCUUUAUCCUGGGUUUGGUGUAUUUUAUCAUCGUCAUGGUUCCUCAGUGUCCCUGUGCUGAGUGGAGUGUAAAGAGUGUCUCCUGUUAGAGAAACACUUUGACUGUUGAACAGAUAGUUCAGUCUGUACAUGUCUGUCUCUCACUCACAAACACGUUUUCAGAUUCAUGGAUUCAAUCAGUUGAUGUUUGCAACUCUUCUAAAUGAUUCCUUAGUUUGUAUGAACCAUGAAAACUGUGACAUCCUGGUGAAGAAUCUGCUGGUAUUUGGUGACAGACAUUAGAUUUGCUUUGAUGUCAAACUUUGAGAACCUGUUUCAUUGUUUUUCUUUAUAAAUCAAAGAGAUCUGUGUACAAACAGGAGAACGACUGUAAAGACUCUGUGCUUCUAACAGCCUCUGUUAACAUAUGUGAGGCUGUUUGUUGUUGUUGCCAUGGAGUUUUUCACUGUUUGGGUCAGCAGGUCAUGUGAUCAGGUUUGUUCUGUGAAAGCUCGACGAUGGUUCAGUGUCACGGUUUGUUUGCGUUCAUCAAUAAAUA